rnacentral:lncRNA from 1 species
AGUUUCCAUCAAUCGAGACUGCAGUACAGAGGAAUCACAUCACACCCACAGACGAGGCAAAACAGACAUGUCUUUAUACAACUGCUCAAGUCCAACAGCUGAGGGGGCAGGAAAGAGAAGGGAAGGAGGUGAGUGAACCAUCCAGAAUUCUUCACCAGAUUGACAGGCAGCCUAUAAUUACCAUGCAUUUGCACCUUGAAUGCAGGUGUUGUCAUAAUCAGAGACUCUUCUUAGCAAAGGCUUUUUGCUAAAGGUGAGAGGGCUUCACAGGAUGUGUGUUGCCUGUGGCCCUGAAUGGGUUUGGAGGCAGAUUUAUAGUGGAGGGCACCUAAAUGUGAAAAGAUAAGAGUCCCCCAUGCCCCCCACCACUCCAAUCUGGCCCUCGGGUUUAAAUUAGUGGAUUUCCCACUCUGGGGUAAAGUGAAGUGCUGUUCAGAGUCCCAAACAAGUGUAUGAGGCUUUAAAGUCACGCUGCCCUCUUAGGUAUAGCCUGGCUCCUAAUUCUCUCUAGUUAAUCUGACUGGCAUAGCCUCCACUUUAGAGAUGGAAAAAUCCACAAUUUGCCUCAGUCUAACCACAAAUAAGCAGAACUAGAAUUCAGGUCUCCACUCUGCUUUGCAUUCUACAAAACUGCCAAAAAAAAAAAGUUUAUUUAUGCUUUCUUUCCUUUAAAAAAUAUUUUAAACUUUCUCUGAGUCUGGUCCAGAUACGUAGGACUAGCUUUGUUUUGGAGGACACAGAUAAAGACUAUUUCUCUUUCUCCACUAUCUGUAUGUCUACACUUACAAAAGAAAAAGAAGAAACACCGUUGUGUGUGAUGACCAGAGCAGGGACUGGGUCAGAAGAGGUCUUUAUGGAAUAAGAGACUUCAGAGGGCAGAAAUCUCACCUCAUUAGUUAACAUGAUUUGAGUGAUCAAAACUUUAACACUUAUCACCUUAUUUCCUACAUUAUCUCAGACUUGCCUGCAUGUUCAAUGCCCUGACCCUAACAAGCCCUACUAGAAUUAUAAGCAGCAUUUAUUAUUAUUUUUUAAUGCUGGCAGUGCUUGGCACCAUUUCCUAAAUGGAGGUUAAAAAUUUGCCAAAGAUGUAUUCUACUUUUCUCUUUCUUUCCAAGAUCUUUCAAGAGAUGAGCUUAAAAAAAAAAAAAAAA